rnacentral:rRNA from 1 species
ACGAACGCUGGCGGCGUGCCUAAUACAUGCACGUAGAACGCUGAAGGAGGAGCUUGCUUCUCUGGAUGAGUUGCGAACGGGUGAGUAACGCGUAGGUAACCUGCCUGGUAGCGGGGGAUAACUAUUGGAAACGAUAGCUAAUACCGCAUAAUAGCAGUUGUUGCAUGACAACUGUUUGAAAGGUGCAAUUGCACCACUACCAGAUGGACCUGCGUUGUAUUAGCUAGUUGGUGGGGUAACGGCUCACCAAGGCGACGAUACAUAGCCGACCUGAGAGGGUGAGCGGCCACACUGGGACUGAGACACGGCCCAGACUCCUACGGGAGGCAGCAGUAGGGAAUCUUCGGCAAUGGACGGAAGUCUGACCGAGCAACGCCGCGUGAGUGAAGAAGGUUUUCGGAUCGUAAAGCUCUGUUGUAAGAGAAGAACGAGUGUGAGAGUGGAAAGUUCACACUGUGACGGUAUCUUACCAGAAAGGGACGGCUAACUACGUG